GGGAAGUGCUGGGAAACUUCAACUGCCACACGAUCUCAUUGAACUUAUUCUCAGUUGACGAUCAUCAAAAUGUAGAGAGAUUCUAAGAAUGUGGAUCGCUUCACUGUCCACAAUCAAGGAAGUUUCAACCUUUUUGCUAUGGUGAUGAAGAAGCUUCAACUCCAUGUCAGCACUUCACACAUUAUUUGUUUGUAUAUCUAUUGGUUUUACUUUGCGG
rnacentral:misc_RNA from 1 species